UACGUAGGGGGCAAGCGUUGUCCGGAAUCAUUGGGCGUAAAGAGCGUGUAGGCGGCCCGGUAAGUCCGCUGUGAAAGUCCAGGGCUCAACCCUGGGAUGCCGGUGGAUACUGUCGGGCUCGAGUCCGGAAGAGGCGAGUGGAAUUCCUGGUGUAGCGGUGAAAUGCGCGGAUAUCAGGAAGAACACCCGUGGCGAAGGCGGUUCUCUGGGACGGUACUGACGCUGAGACGCGAAAGCGUGGGGAGCGAACAGG
rnacentral:rRNA from 1 species